rnacentral:misc_RNA from 1 species
AGAGACAGAACGUCCUAGUGCGUAGUUUCUGCCGCCCAGCGCGCUUCACCUGGUGAUUGGUUGUGGCCCUCCAUUACCGGCCGCUUCUUUGGCACGCGGGCAGGAGGACGCGUCGCAGGCAUACACGCAGAGCCCGCGACUCAGCAUGCCAGUGCAGACUCAAGCGCAGCGGAGCCCGCCUGCCACCACGACCGGAGCGUCCACUGGGAAGAAGGCAUCCGUGAGUGUAACCAGCGCGCAGACAGUGGAUGCCAUCGCAGCUUCCAUGGAACGCUUCCUGGUUGCUCAAGAGGCUGCCCUUGUGCGAAUGCUGGACUCGUGUAGGAGUGACGCGAGCCAGGCACUGCUUCGGUGGGGCUUCAGCGAUGCGGCUGCCGGCUCAAGUGCUAACUUCGCCCUUCCCCCCACAGACGGCACGCCGACGGAUGGCAGGCAGGACACGAGUCCGGCUUACCGCGCCAGCGUCAUAUCGGAGCUGCUCAAGCAAGGGAAGGACUCGCAACAGAUGCUCGCGGUAGGAAAAUCGGCGGCCAGGGAGACGGAGGAGCUGCGGCGCACCGCCGAGCUGGAGGAGUACAAGCUCCGUCUUGCCCAGGCCCGAAACCGGCUUCUGCGAGGCCGUCUCGCCAAACUCACGCGCGAGCGCCACGAACAGGCACAACACGUGUUGGUGAGUCAUAACCAGAAUAGCGCUGAUAUUGUUGGGAGUAAGCGAGCAGCGGCUUCUCAAAUCGGGCCAUCGCCUGAUGACUAUGACUACACGAACGACAUCGUUGAGGCCCGGCGGCAGCUCGACCAGUGCACAAAGGAGCUGGAGGAGAGCCAGCUGCGUCUGCAUCAGCUGCAGCAGUACCACCUGGGCCAGCUCAGUGGGCACCUUCAGCCAAUGAUGACGGCCAACGAUGCGUUGCGCACUACCGAGAACUUCCUCGACCCGGAGACGAACAUGGCGGUGCGUGCCACCGUGGUCGACUCCUUACUGGAGGUGAACCGGGCCCUCAAGCCGCUGUCGGUGCAGCAUGAUGGUCUACAGAGCAUGGAAGGUGUUUUACCAUGCUUGGACAACGUCGCAACGUUGUGGGAUCGGCUGGCGGUGCAGAACUUCGUUGUGGGGCGCAUCAACCGUCUCUUCACCUGCAUGUGCCCCACAACACCACCGCUGACGCUUCUGAAGGACACGAACAUGAUGUAAAACGCAGAAGGGCAAGGCGGAUGCGGAGCGCGCGCUAGUGAUAGCACACGGGACGACAUGGGCGCCUCCAUCACAUGAGAAAUGUACCCCCACCCCCCCCCCCCCCCUUGCGUGUGAGAGAGUGCGCGGCGGCAAUAGGGACGUUGCACCAUAGGAGGUGGGCGCCCGUGGCGUUCAUGCGACAUGCCUACUUGACUCUUCUUUGGACCUUCUCUCUCUGUGAUCUUGUGUCUGCAGUAUUAUGAGCAGCGGUGCCGCGAGUGACGCCUCCCUCGCUCUUUCUCUAUGUACAGUUAAUGCGUCUCACUCUCUCUCGUCGCUUGUUUAUCUCUCCGCUUGAGCGCCUCCUCGCGCCCCCCUUCGCCUCUGCCAAAGCGCCCGUGCUGAUC